ACUAUACGGUCCUAAGGUAGCGAAAUUCCUUGUCGGUUAAAUACCGACCUGCAUGAAUGGCGUAACGAGAUGGGAGCUGUCUCAACCAGAGAUUCAGUGAAAUUGUAGUGGAGGUGAAAAUUCCUCCUACCCGCGGCAAGACGGAAAGACCCCGUGGACCUUUACUACAACUUAGCACUGCUAAUGGGAAUAUCAUGCGCAGGAUAGGUGGGAGGCUUUGAAGUAAGGGCUUUGGCUCUUAUGGAGCCAUCCUUGAGAUACCACCCUUGAUGUUUCUGUUAGCUAACUGGCCUGUGUUAUCCACAGGCAGGACAAUGCUUGGUGGGUAGUUUGACUGGGGCGGUCGCCUCCUAAAAAGUAACGGAGGCUUGCAAAGGUUGGCUCAUUGCGGUUGGAAAUCGCAAGUUGAGUGUAAUGGCACAAGCCAGCCUGACUGUAAGACAUACAAGUCAAGCAGAGACGAAAGUCGGUCAUAGUGAUCCGGUGGUUCUGUGUGGAAGGGCCAUCGCUCAAAGGAUAAAAGGUACCCCGGGGAUAACAGGCUGAUCUCCCCCAAGAGCUCACAUCGACGGGGGAGGUUUGGCACCUCGAUGUCGGCUCAUCGCAUCCUGGGGCUGGAGCAGGUCCCAAGGGUAUGGCUGUUCGCCAUUUAAAGCGGUACGCGAGCUGG
rnacentral:rRNA from 1 species